rnacentral:tRNA from 1 species
UCGAGGGUUCGAAUCCCUU